AUUAUCUCUUCGAAACAUAUCGAGAUACGGAUGAUGCUGUUGUACUUAAAAAUUGUUAUCCUGAUGAAUUUAGUAUGUUCUACUUCAAGAUAGAGGGAAAUAUAACUUCUGCCAUACAGACCGGCAGGUUUACAAAGUUAAUGAACUCAUACACCUACAUAAAAACACAUAGAUGCGUAGAAGCUUCAUCAAGAAUUGCUUGCGCUGCCGAAUGUAACAUUGUUCCGAAGUGUUUCGCCUUCCUAUAUGAAAAGAAGAAGAAUGGUUGUCGCUUAAUGAAAUUAUAUUGAAACUUUAAAAAAAUUUGUUUUAAUCCACCCACUUCUGAACAUGUAACAUUGCCAUUAAUCUUUUGGAUAUCAUGUGUGAGCUGAAAUUUAUAGUCAUAUCCUGUUUGUUAUAACUUGCUGCUUUUCACAAAUACUGCUAUUUAUCCUUGCACUAAGAAACGAUUAUGGUUGUUUUUCAGCAAACCUUUUACAAACGGAUGUAUUCAGUAAUUGUCUAGUGUUGACUUUAUAGUUUUCUCCUUUUACUUGUUUAUCAACUACGGUGAUUUUCAAACAGUGGCCCAAGUGGUAUUAAGAUGCUCCAUAGAUUUUUAAUAAUAUAUUUCAAUGUUUUAAACAAUUCAUAUUAUUGCAGGGAAACUCAUGAUUUACAAUUUUCAUUCAUGCAAUCAAUUUUCAUCUGAAUUUUGCAAUUUUUUCUGUAUUUUGAAUUUAAAAAAUAAAAUUCAUUCUGCAGUUUUCAACUUUCUAUACGAUGGCAUGACCAUUCAUUCUUUCUUACCUACAUUGCAAUUAUAUUUCAUUUUAUUAUUCUAUCAAACUCGGCUUUAGCUUUUGAAUUUGCUUCGGAAAUUUUACGUGUAUCCAUGUUUCAUUCGAAAGUGUGAUGCAGUUUCAAAGCGAACAAGAGAAAGUCAGAGCUUUGAUAAUAAGCAUAAUUUUCCUCUUUUUACCAAUCUUCGCACCCACUUUCGUCCUGUUGUCCUCCCUUUCGUAUUUUACUCCAGACAUAUUUUCACUCACCUUCACCCACUACUUUCGCUCACCUUCAAAAGAAGAGAUCUCUACGAAACACUAUAAUUAUUUGCUAUUCAACACAUGAACAUCAGUAUUAAUUUAUGAAAACUCCAUAACUAUGUGCACAAUAUCUUAUGUGAAUUGAUAUAUUGUUUCUUUUAAUCAGUAUUACUGUAUUCAUGUGUGUAUAUCUCAAUAAAAUUUAUCAAUCUACAACAUUGUU